rnacentral:rRNA from 1 species
UAAGCGGAGGAAAAGAAACUAACAAGGAUUCCCCUAGUAACGGCGAGUGAAGCGGGAAGAGCUCAAAUUUGUAAUCUGGCGCCUUCGGCGUCCGAGUUGUAAUCUCGAGAAGUGUUUUCCGCGCUGGACCGCAUACAAGUCUGUUGGAAUACAGCGUCAUGGUGGGUGAGAACCCCGUAACUGAUGCGGAUGCCCAGUGCUUUGUGAUACACUUUCGAAGAGUCGAGUUGUUUGGGAAUGCAGCUCAAAGUGGGUGGUAAAUUCCAUCUAAAGCUAAAUAUUGGCGAGAGACCGAUAGCGAACAAGUACCGUGAGGGAAAGAUGAAAAGCACUUUGGAAAGAGAGUUAACAGUACGUGAAAUUGUUGGAAGGGAAACGCUUGAAGUCAGACUUGCUAUUUGGAGUUCAGCCGCAAGGUGUAUUCUUCAGUUGGCAGGCCAGCAUCAGUUUUUGGGGGUGGAAAAGGGUUUGGAGAAGGUAGCAGUCUCGGCUGUGUUAUAGCUCCUUGCUGGAUUCACCCUUGGGGAUUGAGGAACGCAGCGCGCUUUUUGCAAGGUCUUCGGGCUUUUCGCGCUUAGGAUGCUGGUGGAAUGGCUUUAAACGACCCGUC